UCCUAGGAGGUUAAAUCCCAUUUGUUUUAUAUUUUCCUCUUCUGGAGCACUUGGCAGCAAAAAUCAUCCUGCAGGAAUAGAUUUCACCUAAGCAGGUAAAUGAUUCUCGUAUAGUCUACCUAAAAUCAGGUCUUGAAAAGGUCUUUUAAACCCAGUGACUCUUUUUUUUCCGAAUUUGUUUUCUUAUGAGGGGGGUAUUAAUUCCAACAAGUCAUUGGGAUGUUAUUUAUGAUUAAAGUGGACCUAAUAAACUAAUUUCCAGCUCUGUAUUUUUAUUCUUGGAUUGUACCAGGGUAGCUCUCCAUAAUUCCUUAAGUAUGAAACAACCCAAUCUGGCUCCCUUAAGGCAACUUUCUUCUGAUUGGUGGCCCCUCCCAAACAGCAGGUGGGUGGAGCUUCCAGGCACACAACUAGAGCUGUACUCUGCAGAUGACCGUACAUCACAGAGCCAAGAGCAGAAAGAAAAACUGUGAUGGAGUGUGGCUGCCUUCAUUGACAGCUUCAGCCAACAGCUGUCAGAGAGGCCUCACCUCAGCUGAAGUCACUUAACUUGACCCCUUGACUGUCCGGAUUUCUCUUUUGGCAACUGUUGCACGUUAGAAAAAAACUGCACUGAGCCACAAGAGGCCACGUCUGAUCUCUCUGUGAGAAGACGAGUCCAAAGGAGGAGCAUGAAUAUUCAACAGAAUAAUGCAGGUGUUUUUUCUACCUGUGGAUGCCGGAGCACUCGAUGCACAGCAGGAUGCCCAGGUUGAUUGAGGCCCAGCGAGGGUCGGCCUGACCGCAGUCGCAGCACUGCUCGUUCCCCGGC